AGUGAACGCUGGCGGUAGGCCUAACACAUGCAAGUCGAACGGCAGCACAGUAAGAGCUUGCUCUUACGGGUGGCGGGUGGCGGACGGGUGAGGAAUACGUCGGAAUCUACUUUUUCGUGGGGGAUAACGUAGGUAAACUUACGCUAAUACCGCAUACGACCUACGGGUGAAAGCAGGGGAUCUUCGGACCUUGCGCGAUUGAAUGAGCGGAUGUCGGAUUUGCUGGUUGGCGGGGUAAAGGCCCACCAAGGCGAAGAUCCGUAGCUGGUCUGAGAGGAUGAUCAGCCACACUGGAACUGAGACACGGUCCAGACCCCUACGGGAGGCAGCAGUGGGGAAUAUUGGACAAUGGGCGCAAGCCUGAUCCAGCCAUACCGCGUGGGUGAAGAAGGCCUUCGGGUUGUAAAGCCCUUUUGUUGGGAAAGAAAAGCAGCAGGUUAAUACCCCGCUGUUCUGACGGUACCCAAAGAAUAAGCACCGGCUAACUUCGUG
rnacentral:rRNA from 1 species